GACGUAGGGCGCGAGCGUUGUCCGGAUUUAUUGGGCGUAAGGAGCUCGUAGGCGGCUUGUCGCGUCGUCCGUGAAAACCUGGGGCUCAACUGUGGGCUUGCAGCUGAUACGGGCAGGCUUGAGUUCGGUAGGGGAGACUGGAAUUCCUGGUGUAGCGGUGAAAUGCGCAGAUAUCAGGAGGAACACCGGUGGCGAAGGCGGGUCUCUGGGCCGAUACUGACGCUGAGGAGCGAAAGCGUGGAGAGCGAACAGG
rnacentral:rRNA from 1 species